rnacentral:rRNA from 1 species
GACGAACGCUGGCGGCGUGCUUAACACAUGCAAGUCGAACGGAAAGGCCCUACUUUUGUGGGGUGCUCGAGUGGCGAACGCGUGAGUAACACGUGAGUAACCUGCCCUUGACUUUGGGAUAACUUCAGGAAACUGGGGCUAAUACCGGAUAGGAUCUCCUGCUCCGUGGUGGGGAUGGGAAAGUUUCGGCGGUCGGGGAUGGACUCGCGGGUUAUGGGCUUGUUGGUGGGGUAGUUGCUGACCAAGCAUUUGAAGGGUAGCCGGCCUGAGAGGGUGAACGGGCACAAGGGGACUGAGGGAGGGAGCAGACGCGUACAGGAGGCAGCGGGGGGGAGUAUUGCACAGUGGGCGGAAGCGUGAUGCAGCAGCGCCGCGUGCGUGAUGACGGCCUGCGGGUUGUGAACAGCUUUCGCCUGUGACGAAGCGUGAGUGACGGUAAUGGGUAAAGAAGCACCGGCUAACUACGUG